rnacentral:rRNA from 1 species
UACGGAGGGUGCAAGCGUUAAUCGGAAUUACUGGGCGUAAAGCGCACGCAGGCGGUCUGUCAAGUCAGAUGUGAAAUCCCCGGGCUUAACCUGGGGACUGCAUUUGAAACUGGCAGGCUUGAGUCUCGUAGAGGGGGGUAGAAUUCCAGGUGUAGCGGUGAAAUGCGUAGAGAUCUGGAGGAAUACCGGUGGCGAAGGCGGCCCCCUGGACGAAGACUGACGCUCAGGUGCGAGAGCGUGGGGAGCAAACAGG